rnacentral:misc_RNA from 1 species
UCCAUCCGCAUAAACUGAAGAAAAUGCCAAUCAAAGUAAAAACUUGGAACCAGAAAACAAUGAUUAAUGCAAAACAAAAUCUCUCAGAUCCCUUAUUAAAUUAAUAUAUGAAAAUAAUUAAUAAUUAUAAUCAAUUAAGGCAACAGGAAACAAUAUUGACAACCAAGAAAGGAUAUGAGCAAGGAACCUUAAGGUUAUUAGAUGAUAUAGGCCUUGUAAUUUUUAUCAGUCCGUAUAAACUUAAAGUUCCAUAAGCAAAAUAGACAUGAGUCCCACUUCACCACUAUAACAAAAAAGGAUGAGAAAAAGAGGGUAAUUUACAACUAAGCCCCUGAGAUAUAGCAAAACCCACAAGUUAGUCCUUGAUUUGUUUUUUAGUAACAUUUUGGUUCUUAUAUUUAAAUUCCAUUAACAAAUUAGUCCUUAUCGUUAAUUGCUUUUCAAUUUGAAACAAUUUGGUCACUAAUGCUUUGUUUUAUUAGCAAAAUAGUCCCCACAUUUAAAUUUUAUAUUUAAGCAAUUCCUUAUUUUAUAUUUAAAUAAUUAUACAAAAUUAUUUGAAUGAAACAAAACUUAAAAGAUUAAAUUGUUUUAACUUGUUAAGGUCAAUUUAGACCGUAAGGACUAAUUUCUUAACAAAAUUGAACUUUGAGGACCACAUUGUUAUUCAAAAACAUACUACGGACUAGUCUGUGAGUUUUGCUAUAUCUCAAAGGCUUAAUUGUAAAUUACCAAC